UGUUAUGCUUCAAUUUACUUUUAAAUUGCAUGGCUAGGAGACACACCCCCAGUACCUGUGAAGACCAUGCUGCAGAGGCCAACCCAAAUCAGGUUUCCCCACGAGUCACUUCUAUUGAAACGAAGUCAUUCGUGACCUUCCCAGGAAGCUGUCCACCCCAGUGGCUUCUCCGGAAAGGCUGGCUCUUCUUGCAAGGCCUUCCCCCGGCACCUUUUUUUUGGCCACCUGUCUCUCUACCUUCUCUAUUGACCAGACUGUAAAGAAGCAGGAAAUGUCACUCCAAGACGGACUGAACUGGCCAGGGCACGGACUGGUAUUUGUAAGCAGCCAGUGGCCAGCAGCUUUUCAGAGUUAUCCCUUAGUGGGCAAUGUGUUAAAUUGGCUUUCUUUCUUUAUGCUCACAUUUUUAAAAGUCCACACAAACAAAACAAAACAGCUCAAUAAAAAAGAUUAGUUACCUGCCAACCUUUAUUCAGGAAGUGAGAGUUACUCUCAAACAGUGCUUCAAACGGCGAGGCACCCCAGGCUUUUGUUCCGCCGUGUUCGGGCACUGCCCGAGUCCUGCACUCCCACGUAGGCAGCCUGUUUAUUAAGGUGUCAUUCUGGUUGGCACAAAAUGAUGGUCACAUCUCAGCCGGCUUUAUUUUUACUUGAGCAGUGGCCAGAGAACGCAGGUACUUCAUCAAUCAGGCGGCGUGCUGGGGUCCUAGGCCAAGGUCUGAGUGCUGUGCUGUCCGUGGUCAAGCCCCCCCUGGGGUCUGGGUUACAUGCACGAAAGCCUUCGAGAUCCCCCACCCGUCCCCAGUCAGGCAGCAAACAGUCUGCACCACUAAUGACAGAAUGUCCUCCCCUUCCUCCAGAAUCUUCUGAGGAGGAUGAAAACAGAAACUAAAUCCAGACGAGGAUGCUGGAAAGAGAUACUGAUACACAAAGGCAAAACCAUGAGGCAGGGGGGAAGCGAAAUGAGAGGUAAAGACAGGAGGUUAAACCAUGCGGUCACAGCCAACUGAGAAAGCUGCUAAGAGACACACCGGAUAAAAACAAAACCCACCCAGCUCCCUUCCUCCACAAGGUAUUGUAAUGCAGCAAACCUGUGACACUCCUCUUGUAGUAAGUACUGUUAGUAUUCAGUACUUUAACAGUCAUGGUGCAUUCAUAUGCUUUUGCAUAAAUCAAAAAGAAACAUAGCAAUCAACCUACUGGCAAAAUCAGGAUGAAAAAGUCCAAUUUUUCCACAAAAUACAGAAAGUUUCAGAUUAUUAAGUGGACAAUAAAUGUUUGUAGCCCUGUAUAGAGCUUUGGUUGCCAAAUGAAAAACAAAAAAUAAUCCUGACACAGGAUGUUCCAAAAGCCUAAUUCAUGAAAAAGAGACAAUUUAUUCUAUGUUUAAUAAAAUGUUUAUUAAGGUGGUAACACAAGAUAAAUCAUGCAGGAGCUCAGUAAAAACAAAAAAUUAAUAUAAGGAAUGGUAAUUGGUGCUGCCAAUUUAAAAAUAUGUCAAUCAUUUUACUACCCAAAGUGAUUUGAAGAAGUUGGAAUCUGAGCAUGGACAUGGUUGCAGCAAUCUUGCGGACUGUAAACUAAAGUGAUAGGUGACUCCUUGUGUUCUAGUCCUCAGAGGAGUCGAGUCAUAGAUCCAAAAUCAUCAGCAAUGUCCCUCGCAUCCUGCACUCAGAUGGCAGCCCAGAACCCCUGCCCACCGAGUCCUUCGACACCCAGGGGACAGUCUCAAACCGACACUUCUUAGCAGGGGAGGGGAGCAGGCACCUUUGGUGACUCGCAAAUGAGACUCCGUCCACAUUCAGAAUCUUAACAUCUGUGGUGAUGAAAAC